CCUACGGGAGGCAGCAGUGAGGAAUAUUGGUCAAUGGACGCAAGUCUGAACCAGCCAUGCCGCGUGCAGGAAGACGUCUUUAUGAGUUGUAAACUGCUUUUGUACGAGGGUAAACGCAGAUACGCGUAUCUGUCUGAAAGUAUCGUACGAAUAAGGAUCGGCUAACUCCGUGCCAGCAGCCGCGGUAAUACUGAGGAUUCAAGCGUUAUCCGGAUUUAUUGGGUUUAAAGGGUGCGUAGGCGGUCGGAUAAGUUAGAGGUGAAAGCCGGAGGCCCAACUUCGGGAUUGCCUCUGAUACUGUUCGGCUAGAGAGUAGUUGCGGUAGGCGGAAUGUAUGGUGGAGCGGUGAAAUGCUUAGAGAUCAUACAGAACACCGAUUGCGAAGGCAGCUUACCAAGCUACUUCUGACGUUGAGGCACGAAAGCGUGGGGAGCAAACAGGAUUAGAUACCCCUGUAGUC
rnacentral:rRNA from 1 species